rnacentral:rRNA from 1 species
ACGGGAGGCAGCAGUGGGGAAUAUUGGGCAAUGGGCGCAAGCCUGACCCAGCAACGCCGUGUGAAGGAUGAAUGUCUUCGGAUUGUAAACUUCUUUAAUCGGGGAAGUAAAAAAUUACCUACCCGAAGAAUAAGCCACGGCUAACUACGUGCCAGCAGCCGCGGUAAUACGUAGGUGGCAAGCGUUAUCCGGAUUUCCUGGGUGUAAAGGGCGUGUAGGCGGCUCUGCAAGUCAGAAGUGAAAUUCCCGGGCUCAAACCGGGCCUUGCUUCUGAAACUGCAGAACUUGAGUACUGGAGGGGAAAGCGGAAUUCAUAGUGUAGCGGUAAAAUGCGCAGAUAUUAGGAGGAACACCGGUGGCGAAGGCGGCUUUCUGGACAGUAACUGACGCUGAGGCGCGAAAGCGUGGGGAGCAAACAGGAUUAGAUACCCUGGUA